rnacentral:lncRNA from 1 species
UUUUGUCAACAUAUAACAUGGCAUUGAUAAAAAGAAAAAUGAGUUUUAUUCCCCUCAUAUAUAUGCAAAUUUAUUGAGCAGUGAUUUAAUUAUGGAUGAAUUUGGCAAUGACAUGCUAGAUCAGCACUUGUUCUAUAUGUUUUUCGUUUUUCAAAUGGUAUUUCUGUUGGUGACUGAUAAAGGAAAUGGCUAUAUCUGAAUAAGAUUAUUGAUAAGUAACUUGAAGCAGAAGAUUUGAAGUUAGCCAAAAGUGACACACUGACUGGAGAUAAUAGGUCUGAAUUAGAUCAAUACAUAUUUCAAUCUGGAAAGUUGUGUACUAUAUGUCUAUAUUGACUGCAAAAAGUCCUUAAGUCAAUACAUGGUUUGGGUAAGACCUAGGGCAAUGUUACUUGUGAUGGAUUGAAGUAGAAAAAGGUCCAUAUACUGGCAUAAAUCUUAUUUAGUGCAUUCAGUCGUGUGGAUCAGUGUGUAGUUUUUAUAGCUAACGAAUAACGACGUAAUAUUGCUUCUGAAUCAUGUGGUGAAACAGUUCCUGUUUAUUUAAAAACGCACAAAAAUAACUGCAAUAUUAAAAUU